ACAUCCAGAGAAUUUAGCAGAGAUGCUUUAGUGCCUUCGGGAACUCUGAGACAGGUGCUGCAUGGCUGUCGUCAGCUCGUGUUGUGAAAUGUUGGGUUAAGUCCCGNAACGAGCGCAACCCUUAUCCUUUGUUGCCAGCACGUAAUGGUGGGAACUCAAAGGAGACUGCCGGUGAUAAACCGGAGGAAGGUGGGGAUGACGUCAAGUCAUCAUGGCCCUUACGAGUAGGGCUACACACGUGCUACAAUGGCGCAUACAAAGAGAAGCGACCUCGCGAGAGCAAGCGGACCUCAUAAAGUGCGUCGUAGUCCGGAUUGGAGUCUGCAACUCGACUCCAUGAAGUCGGGAUCGCUAGUAAUCGUAAAUCAGAAUGUUACGGUGAAUACGUUCCCGGGCCUUGUACACACCGCCCGUCACACCAUGGGAGUGGGUUGCAAAAGAAGUAGAUAGCUUAACCUUCGGGAGGGCGUUUACCACUUUGUGAUUCAUGACUGGGGUGAAGUCGUAACAAGGUAAGCGUAGUGCU
rnacentral:rRNA from 1 species